rnacentral:rRNA from 1 species
GAUGAACGCUGGCGGCGUGCCUAAUACAUGCAAGUCGAGCGAACAGAUGAGGAGCUUGCUCCUCUGACGUUAGCGGCGGACGGGUGAGUAACACGUGGAUAACCUACCUAUAAGACUGGGAUAACUUCGGGAAACCGGAGCUAAUACCGGAUAAUAUAUUGAACCGCAUGGUUCAAUAGUGAAAGACGGUUUUGCUGUCACUUAUAGAUGGAUCCGCGCCGCAUUAGCUAGUUGGUAAGGUAACGGCUUACCAAGGCAACGAUGCGUAGCCGACCUGAGAGGGUGAUCGGCCACACUGAAACUGAGACACGGUCCAGACUCCUACGGGAGGCAGCAGUAGGGAAUCUUCCGCAAUGGGCGAAAGCCUGACGGAGCAACGCCGCGUGAGUGAUGAAGGUCUUCGGAUCGUAAAACUCCGUUAUUAGGGAAGAACAAAUGUGUAAGUAACUAUGCACGUCUUGACGGUACCUAAUCAGAAAGCCACGGCUAACUACGUG